rnacentral:rRNA from 1 species
GAUGAACGCUGGCGGCGUGCCUAAUACAUGCAAGUCGAGCGAACAGACGAGGAGCUUGCUCCUCUGACGUUAGCGGCGGACGGGUGAGUAACACGUGGAUAACCUACCUAUAAGGCUGGGAUAACUUCGGGAAACCGGAGCUAAUACCGGAUAACAUGUUGAACCGCAUGGUUCAACAGUGAAAGACGGUUUUGCUGUCACUUAUAGAUGGAUCCGCGUCGCAUUAGCUAGUUGGUAAGGUAACGGCUUACCAAGGCAACGAUGCGUAGCCGACCUGAGAGGGUGAUCGGCCACACUGGAACUGAGACACGGUCCAGACUCCUACGGGAGGCAGCAGUAGGGAAUCUUCCGCAAUGGGCGAAAGCCUGACGGAGCAACGCCGCGUGAGUGAAGAAGGUCUUCGGAUCGUAAAACUCUGUUAUUAGGGAAGAACAAAUGUGUAAGUAACUAUGCACGUCUUGACGGUACCUAAUCAGAAAGCCACGGCUAACUACGUG